rnacentral:rRNA from 1 species
UACGAAGGUCCCAAGCGUUAUCCGGAUUUAUUGGGUUUAAAGGGUGCGUAGGCGGGUUAUUAAGUCAGUGGUGAAAGCCUGCAGCUUAACUGCAGAAUUGCCAUUGAUACUGAUGAUCUUGAGUAUGAUUGAGGUGGGCGGAAUGUGUCAUGUAGCGGUGAAAUGCUUAGAUAUGACACAGAACACCGAUUGCGAAGGCAGCUCACUAAGCCAUAACUGACGCUGAUGCACGAAAAGCGUGGGGAGCAAACAGG